UAAAGUUGUUGCAGUUAAAAAGCUCGUAGUUGAAUUUCGAGACCGGUUUACUGGUCGUGCUUUUGUACGUACUGGUAUAAUCGGUUGCUCUUUUCUGACGAACUAUAAUGCCAUUAAUUUGGUGUUAUAGGGAAUCAGGACUGUUACUUUGAAAAAAUUAGAGUGUUUAAAGCAGGCUCACGCUUGAAUACAUUAGCAUGGAAUAACGAAAUAGGACGUUUGAUUUUAUUUUGUUGGUUUCUAGGAUCGACGUAAUGAUUAAUAGGG
rnacentral:rRNA from 1 species